rnacentral:pre_miRNA from 1 species
CGUGCACCGGUGGGGUCCCUCGGCCUGGCCUGUGCCCUCUUGCAAUCCAAAACCCCUCAGGGGAUGUUGGAGAGCAGGUUUCAGCCGGAUUCCCUGCAGGCCAGGCUGAGGGACCCCACCAGUGCACA